rnacentral:rRNA from 1 species
CGGUGGAGUAUGUGGCUUAAUUCGAGGCUACGCGCAAAACCUUACCCAGGCUUGACAUGCACGGAUUAGCCGGCGGAAACGCGUGCCGAACGGACAGGUGUGACGAGCGAAACCCCUGUCCCUAGUUGCCAGCGGGAUGUCAAGUCUCAUGGCCCUUAUGCCUGGGCUGCAUACAUGGGGCGGACAAGCGUUGCCAUGCCGCAAGGCCUAGCUUCGCAAAAACCGUUCCUCAGUUCGGAUUGUGGUGCAACCCGCCCACAUGAAACUGGAAUCGCUAGUAAUCGGGAUCAGCAUGCCGCGGUGAAUGGGUUCCUGAGCCUUGUACACACCGCCGUCAAGCCACCAAAGCGGGGGGUAUCCGAAGUCGCCGGAGCCGCAAGGCAGGCGCCGAAGUGAAACCCGUGAUGGGGACUAAGUCGUACAAGGU